ensembl:lncRNA
GGGGGUGGGUAGAUUCGUGUGUGUCUGUGUCUGUGUAUUUGUAUUUGUGUGUAUGUGUGUGUGUGUGUGUGUGUGUGUGUCAGUGUCCGUGAGGGUCUGUGUGUGUGUGUGCCUGGGUGGGGGAUGGUGUGGUGUGGUCCGCCUCCCACCCCCCUGAUGUUUCGGUGGCGCUGAUCUAACUUGUCCUGCAGAACUGGGGAAAUGACAACGUCAGUACGUCUAGCCUUAUCUCCCAGCCUGCCGCUCUGUCAGAGGAAAUGAGGUUUGCUUGGCACAUCUACUCUUUAUGAUGUCAUUUUGGCUGUGAUCUGCGUGUCCUGCUCCCCUAGGUAUUUGUCUUUUGAUCGCCUAAUGAAUACCUGCCAACGUAGAGAUGAAGAGAGCGGACAUUUUGGAGGGGUUUUUUUCAAGAAUUUUUUUUUUUUUUUAAAGCAUGUUAGCCGUCCAUCUCUUUGCUGUGGACUUGGAAACCACGAUGCAGCAUCGGCAGAGUGUUCUUGGCAUCACCACACUCUUGGCAAGUGCUUCGCGUUUCAUCUAGAACUCAGAGACCGUUCUAGUUGCACAGAAGGCUGCGAACAAGAUGGCCUCCAGCCCAGAGAGGUCUGGGCUGGCUGCCGGGGGCUGACUUCCCCAGGACUCAUCCCCAGCCCCUCCAACUGCACCCCUUCUGGAAGAUUGCCUCACUCCAACCUCAACAUCCCCCUUGCCUUGGAAGAUGCUCUUUCUUCCCCCUGGAAUAUUCCUCAUCACCGUUCUGUGCCCUAGAUCACCUGGGCUGGGAUCCAGGUGCCUCUGCCCGAGCUAAGUCCCUGCUCUGUGCCCCCAGGGCACCGUGGAUUCGCCCAACCAUGCAUGACAUCCAGGACACUGGAAUGCCCUGCUCUCUGUCUGGCUGCCUCCCGGCCGGGACCCUCCAGGAGGGCAGGGACAGGGACCACGAAACCCUCAGUGGAUGUUUGCAGAGUGGACACAUGGAGAUUGGCUGGCUCCUCUCAUUUUCUGGCUCUACUUCCCUCAGAGGCAAUACCUUCAGAUGGCAAUAUAUUCAUUUCAUCUGGACCCACUUCUGACAGCCAUUUUGUUCAGUAACAGAGAUGCUGGAAUGAUGUGCCUGUUGAUUUUGGGGGGGGGGUUGGGUUUGCUUUUGAAACCGAUGGGUUCAUUUCCUCUGGACUGCUUGUCUCAAAUAAUGGUGCCACGCAGACCAGAGGACAAAAGAUUCCCAAGUGUUUGACCUGCUUCAGCCUGUGUUUUGGGGCUAACACGUGGGUUUGCUGCAGUGACCGUGGAGCUCUUGCCAGAGCUGGGCUCCCAGGACAGAUGUUGGAAUGCUCUGCAAUUUCAGAUGAGUCUUUUCGUGGUCAGGUGGGCAUCAUUCAAGGAGAGAUGUAUGGUCUAUCUGCCUGAUGAGGUGUGAGCCUCACAGUGCGAGCCUUUCUCUCACCUAAUAACCCCCUGGCACACCCAGUUGGCAUUCUGGCACUUGGGCCACCUCAUGGUGCAGAGCGGGGGUCACCAAAUGACACCCCUCAAGCCAAAUCUAGCCCACAACCUGUUUUUGUAAAUAAAGUUUUGUCGGAACACA